ensembl:lncRNA
ACCACUGCUCUCAUAGCAGGCCUCUGCUGCUUCUGGGACAGAGCUUUCUACUGCAAGACAUUUAUGGGUGGCUUCUGGUUAUGGGAACCCUAGAGAAGAGAAGGAACUCUUCCUGUUGCCACACACCUCUCUGGCAAAUAGGGCGUCGUGUAUCUCACAGAAGCGAGCAGGACAGCCUUAGGGAUAUGACCUAAAUAGAUCUCCAGGGCCCAAAUUCGUAACAGGAGCAGCUUUAAUAGUCAGCGGCAUUAUUCCAACCAAGUCUUCUCAUCUGUGUUUUUCUUCUCUUUCCAUCUAAUGGAAAGCAUCUUUUGCAUCUGGUAGUGACACCUGCCUUUGGGACACAGUGAAUCUAAUUUUUCUAAUAUCAUGCUGUUUGAUGCAACUAUUUGAUGCAUACAAUGGUUCUUUGAUCAUCUAGAUUGCAGCAUUUCCUGUUCAGCAAUUUGCUCCAUAUCACUGCAUAUGUUUUAUUUACCAAAUAAGUUAUUUCUCUAAGAUUCCCAUAUAAUCACUGUCAUCUAGUCUCACUUUUUUUCUUCCCUUCAUUUUAAAAAUAAAUUUAACUUAUAGAACUAUGUAUCUUCUUCUGUUAGACAGCAGUCACUUGUAGUUGAGAUAAGAGAUAGUAGUUUCCAUUUGAAUUUUAAUUUACAUCAAUUUUGUUCAAGAAGUCUUUAUGCUUUAUCAUCCAGCUCUAAAAUGACUGUACUUAAAACAUUUGUGAAUUCACUCUUCAUAAGAAAGAUGAGUAACUCUGCAACAACAGACCACAGGUCUUGUAUCAUUGAAGGCCUAGAGAUGUUCAUGACUAAUUUUAAUGAAUGAAAAACCUAUUCCAAGAGAUAAAGGAAAGUGGAUUCUUUAAGCACUAAGGAGUCAUUUAAAAGAGUCACAUAAAGAAGAGGCAAGGAAAAUCUUCUAGAUAAUAGUCAAUGAUUACAAGUAUAAUUUAACUUUGUUGAUUCUAAUAUUUAACCAUUAUCACUUUAAAAAAGGUUUAUAAAAAUCACUUACAAAUAGGAAUAAUAUCCUUCCUGAAAAUAUAUUUUUCCUCUGCUUUUACUUUUUUCUAUAGUGCAAAAUAUUAGAGUCACUGAAAACAACAGAUACAAACUGGUAGUUACUUUGCUCUGGAAUACUGUACAUACUGUACUGUUGUGCCAAAGUUCCUACUGCCCAUCGCUGUCAUCUGAGCCUACACAUGGUUUCCUGUAAUAGUAUGUGAAGAUGUGUACAGAUAAAUAAUGUAUGAAGGUAGCAUGCUUAAUAAACUUUAUCCACUUGUCUUGGAUUUCUGAUUUACUGUUCUUCAUCUGGGAAAUAAGCUUAUAAGUACGUUUUCUCAAAAACAAACAAAUAAACAAAAAAACCUUAAACUGUACGCUGCUUGAUGCCGUUUAAUUUGCUUCAGUGUUACACCAGUGACCUGAAUGUUUCCUUUGUAUCUGCAGGUCUGGAAGC